rnacentral:rRNA from 1 species
CCUGACACUAGUACGAGAGGACCGUGUUGGACGAACCGCUGGUUUAUCGGUUAUGCCGCCAGGCGUAUUGCCGAGUAGCUACGUUCGGUUGAGAUAAGUGCUGAAAGCAUCUAAGUACGAAGCUUGCCUCAAGAUUAGAUCUCAUUAUAAGGGUGGUUAUAGACGAUGACCUUGAUAGGCUACAGGUGUAAAGGCGGUGACGUCAUAGCCGAGUAGUACUAAU